AGAACGAACGCUGGCGGCAGGCCUCAAACAUGCAAGUCUAGGGGAUGUAGCAAUACAUCACCGGCGGACGGGUGCGUAACACGUGGGAAUAUACCUUUCGGUACGGAACAACUGCGGGAAACUGCAGCUAAUACCGUAUACGUCCUUACGGAGAAAGAUUUAUCGCCGAAGGAUUAGCCCGCGUUCGAUUAGCUAGUUGGUGAGGUAAUGGCUCACCAAGGCGACGAUCGAUAGCUGUUCUGAGAGGAAGAUCAGCCACACUGGGACUGAGACACGGCCCAGACUCCUACGGGAGGCAGCAGUUGGGAAUCUUCCGCAAUGGACGAAAGUCUGACGGAGCAACACCGCGUGCAGGAUGACGGCCUUCGGGUUGUAAACUGCUUUUAUUUGGGAAGAUUAUGGCGGUACAAAUGAAUAAGGACCGCUAACUUCGUGCCAGCAGCCGC
rnacentral:rRNA from 1 species